rnacentral:rRNA from 1 species
UAGGGAAUCUUCGGCAAUGGGCGAAAGCCUGAUGGAGCAACGCCGCGUGUGUGAUGAAGGGUUUCGGCUCGUAAAACACUGUUGUAAGAGAAGAAUGACAUUGAGAGUAACUGUUCAAUGUGUGACGGUAUCUUACCAGAAAGGAACGGCUAAAUACGUGCCAG